AAAGGUAUAGCUCAGUGGCAGAGUGCAUGCCUAGCAUGCAUGCGGUCCUGGGUUCAGUCCUCAGUACUUCCA
rnacentral:tRNA from 1 species